GCGCCUGGACAGCAUGCUACACAUGCAGUCGAACGGUGAACCACAGAGCUUGCUCUUGGAUGAUCUGUGGCAAAGGGGUGUGUCACACGUGCGCAACCUGCCCCUGACUCUGGGAUAAGCUCUGGAAACGGUCUCUAAUACUGGAUACAAACCACAAGCGCCUCUUCUGUGGUUGGAAAGAUUUAGUGGUUGGAGAUGGUCUCGCGCCCUAUCCUCUUGUUGGUGAGGUAAUGUCUCACCAGGGCCUCCACGGGUACCCCGCCUGAGGGGGUGACCGGCCACACUGGGACAGACACACGCCCCACACCCCUACGGGAGGCAGCUGUGGAAAAUAUUGCACAGUGGGCGCACCCCUGAUGCAACCACCCCGCGAGGGGGAAGACCGCCUUCGUGUUGUAAACCUCUUUUAGCGGGAAAAAAGCAAAUGUCACGGCCCCUGCAAAAAAAGCCCCCGCAAUCUACGUGCCAACCCCCGCGGUUAUACAUGGGGUGCACGCUUUAUCCAGAUUUAUGGGGCGUAAAGAUCUCAUACGCUGUUUGUCGCCUCUGCUGUAAAAUCUGGGGGCUCACCCCCCACCCUGCUGUGGGUACGGGCACACUAGAGCGCUGUGGGAGAGAUUGAAAUUCCUGGUGUAGCGGUGGAAUGCGCAGAUAUCAGGAGGAACACCGAUGGCGAAGGCAGAUCUCUGGGCCGUAACUGACGCUGAGGAGCGAAAGGGUGGGGAGCAAACAGGCUUAGAUACCCUGGUAGUCCACCCCGUAAACGUUGGGAACUAGUUGUGGGGUCCAUUCCACGGAUUCCGUGACGCAGCUAACGCAUUAAGUUCCCCGCCUGGGGAGUACGGCCGCAAGGCUAAAACUCAAAGGAAUUGACGGGGACCCGCACCAGCGGCGGAGCAUGCGGAUUAAUUCGAUGCAACGCGAAGAACCUUACCAAGGCUUGACAUAUACGAGAACGGGCCAGAAAUGGUCAACUCUUUGGACACUCGUAAACAGGUGGUGCAUGGUUGUCGUCAGCUCGUGUCGUGAGAUGUUGGGUUAAGUCCCGCAACGAGCGCAACCCUCGUUCUAUGUUGCCAGCACGUAAUGGUGGGAACUCAUGGGAUACUGCCGGGGUCAACUCGGAGGAAGGUGGGGAUGACGUCAAAUCAUCAUGCCCCUUAUGUCUUGGGCUUCACGCAUGCUACAAUGGCCGGUACAAUGGGCUGCAAUACCGUGAGGUGGAGCGAAUCCCAAAAAGCCGGUCCCAGUUCGGAUUGAGGUCUGCAACUCGACCUCAUGAAGUCGGAGUCGCUAGUAAUCGCAGAUCAGCAACGCUGCGGUGAAUACGUUCCCGGGUCUUGUACACACCGCCCGUCAAGUCAUGAAAGUCGGUAACACCUGAAGCCGGUGUCCUAACC
rnacentral:rRNA from 1 species